rnacentral:rRNA from 1 species
GGAGUCUGGGCCGUAUCUCAGUCCCAAUGUGGCCGUUCAACCUCUCAGUCCGGCUACUGAUCGCAGUCUUGGUAGGCCGUUACCCUGCCAACUAACUAAUCAGAUAUGAGCCCAUCUUUCAGCGGAUUGCUCCUUUGGUAUCAAAAGGAUGCCCUCUCGAUACAUUAUGCGGUAUUAGCAGUCGUUUCCAACUGUUGUCCCCCUCUGAAAGGCAGGUUGCUCAUACAUUACUCACCCGUCCGCCACUAAGUCAAAUCCCUCUUCGACGAAUCUCUGAGGAAAAUGCUUCGUUCGACUUGCAUGUGUUAGGCACGCCGCCAGCGUUCAUC